rnacentral:lncRNA from 1 species
ACUCUAUGUUACGAUAAUAAAGUGCAUCAUACAUCUCAGCAUCAAUGGAGUUCGGUGGGAACUCCUUUUCCUCCUCUUCUUCCUCUUCCUCCUUAGAAUCCUCCUCUGGAUAGGUCUCAGGCUCAUGCCCCUGACCAACAACAGUGAUCAAUGGAGAUGGCUCUCUCUGUACCAGCUGUUCCCUGAUGACAUGAAUGUCGCGGGGCUCCUCCUCUGUAGGUACUCGGGGUUCCUCCUCCCCAGCUCGACUAGCUCCUCCAGCAUCCAACAUCCUGACAACAAAAUUUUAAGUUUUAGUUACAAAUCCGUGCUAGCGAACACAUAGAUUAACACAUAAGCACAUAAAGUCUUUUAUCAUCUUCAAUGAAUUUAGAAAUUCAUUUCAUAGAACUCGAUAAGAGUUUUACCACCACUAUGUUCUCAAUCUCCUACAAGGCUACUACCUAAGGUUGUUCCCCCACCUAAGGUUCAUAACCUACAGCUUUGAUACCAACCUGUGACACCCCCAAAUCCGAUACUUCCAUUUCCACAGGAUUUGGUGUUCACUAUACAACAUCAUCUAUCUAUCAACCCAUAAAUAAAUGUAAACCAUGUAAUCUAUAGAAUUAAAUAAUAAAUCUCCCCUUAAGGGGUUACAUCAACUGCACAAUAAUAAUAAAAUCCCAAGUUACUCUAACCUUAAAACAUCUGUGCCGAAAUCAUAUACAAAUAAGUCUCAAGUAACAUCAAUUCUAAUCAUCAUUACAUAAUCACAAUAAUAAAACAGUCUCCAUUACUUGCUAAUCUUGCCCUUUCCCUUACUAGUGGAAGGUUCGUCUGCUCUUUCGUUCUUAACUGCAAUGUUAUUAUUACGCAAGAGUGAGCACGAUUACCCACAAGUAUAACAAUAUAACAAAUGAAUAACAACAUGCGAAUGAAUUAACAACUUCUGAAAUAAAGCUAAAAUUUUGAAUCAAGAAUGAAUAACAAGAAUCAAAAGAACUUCUGAGGGUCAUAAGACCUUGAACUAUGUCCUAGGUUGUCAAGUGUUUAUACUUGAAACCUUUAACAGUCAUAAGACUAUGGACUCUUCUUCUCGUACUUAGGGGGAUCAGCCCUUAGUACCAUACUGUGCACAAUAUCUUAACGCUAACGCGUAUGUAAUCCUCUUUACAGGAUUGUUCAUCUCAGUUUGACAUUCGAGUCCGCACCAAAGGAAGUUUGGUUUGGAUAAUUCAUCAAGGGUUCUGAAAUUUAAAACGCUCAUCAACUAUGGACUAGUCAAAUCAAGUCUAACAAGGUUUAACAAUAACUGAUAAUUUAACUUGGAUACAAUCUCAAAAGUAUACAAUAGAAUAAUUAUUAUAUAACAACAUCAUGUUUGAAGGAUUAAUAAGCUUUAAUAUACGAAACAGACUUAAUCAAUAACAAUGAGAGUUUGCUUAAUGAUAACAAGUAGGGUUAGGAAACUUGCCUCGUGCAUAGAUUACACGUUAAUAAAACUCGUUCUUUGAUUUAAAUCCUACAUAUCAUUUACAUUCACAAUACCAGUCAAUUAUAACUUACUAAACAUCACACGUUUAUUCUUUGUCUAACUCGAGUUCAUGACUAUACUUAGUCAAUUACUACACUUAUUGUCAAAAAUUAAGACUUCACAAACAAUAAGGUAACUAUGCAUUUGAUCAUUCAAUUCACACGUAAUUGUGUUAAGGAUGUGCUAAGAAUUUAUUUUAACACCUCAUUAUAUGUCUAACAAGUCUUUAUAUUCAUUAGACUAAGUUACCAUCACAUUUCUAUACUCGAACACUUUAAAAAAAACAUUUUCUGGACAUUCUGCUAAGUGGCGCUGCGGCGCCACUUUUGUAGUGGGUCUUGGCGCUGCGGCGCCGUGGCACUGCGGCUUGGUACUUGGUGCUGCGGUGCGGUGGCGCUGCAGCACGGUGGCGCUGCGGUGCGGGAAAUGAACUAGGAGUUGGCACCGCGGCGCGACACUCCAUCCUCCCACAAUACCUUCAACUCGUUUAUUAGAGGUCUCAAGUAAACAUCUAGGUUCUUUCCAGGACUCUUGGGACCAGGAAUCACAAGUGAAAGAAACAAGUAUGGUUGUUUCAUACAUAUCUAAGGAGGCAAGUUGUACGUAGUAAUAAUCACAGGCCACCAGGAGUACGGAACAGCAGAGUGGCCGAACGGGUUGAAACCAUCAGUGGGCAAUCCAAGCCUCACAUUCCUAGGUUCCAAUGCAAACCCAAGAUGUGCUAAGUUAAAAUCCUUCCAAGCCUGCCCAUCUGCGAGAUGGUUUAGUUCCCCAUCUUUAGCUUGAGAUUUCACAUGCCAAGUCAUAUGUUCAGCUGUUCUAGAAGACAUGUACAAUCUUUUUAGCCGAUGUGUAAUUGGAAAAUACCUUAAAAUCUUAAAUGGUAUAUUUGUUUUUGUUUUUGUCACACCCUCUUUAUUAGGCAUAAACCGAUCAUGAAUGUAAAACGUGCACCUUGUCUCAUGUUCAUCUUACUAAUAAAAUAACAUGCAAUCAUUCAGACAUACAUCAAUCUUUUGGUAUCCAAGACCCAACUUCUUCACCAUUUUCUUACAAUAGUAGUAGUUUUCGGGCAAUUUUUCACCCUUAGGCAACAUACUCUUAAUGGCCUUCAAAAGCGACUCAAAACACUUAUGGCGCAUGUUGUAAUCAGCCUUAAUGUUGAGUAAUGUCACCACUGCAGACAAUGUAGUGUGCUUGGUGCAACCAUGCCACAACGGUUCUCUACCUUCAUCUAACAACUUAAAGAACGCUUUGGCAUCAGAAUUCAUAGGUUGCUCUCUACCUUGUUCCUAGUCAAAAUCCAGCCUGUAAUAUUACGAACCAUUUCAUUCGUACGAUGGGUACUGCUGCCCGGAUUGUGUACGUGUGAUGUACCACUAUCUCUUCUCUGACCAUGUGCCCACGAGCAUUCUUCUUAAUUUUUCAUGAACCCCAAAACAAGUAAAUGAUAGUUGAUAAUGUCUCUGUCCAUGUAAUUUACAUUCUUACAGUUCAAACAAGAACAUCUUAUCUUCUUCUGACCAUUUACACAUUCCGGGUUACUAUACGCAUAAUCCAAAAACACUUGGCAACCAGCUCUAAAUUUAGCUAAAGCACCUAUCUGGACACCUGACUUUUGUCAACUCAUCCAACUAUGGUCUGAAUAGAGGUCCAUGAUACCAUGAUACCUACUGCAGACAAGAAUUAUUGUAUUCCCAUUGUUAGAGAUUUACAAUUCAGCUCAAUGCCAUUUAUGAUGCUUAUAAAUAUAUAUAGAUGUAUAUGUACAUAUAUAACUUAAGUGUGCAUUAUAAAUGCUGCUUUGGGAAUGGAAUGAGGAUACAUACCAAAACAAGUAACAUAGCAUAAGAUGGACUACCCAAAGGCAUGCUAUAUUGUUGUGGAUCUCAAAUUAGAAUGAAGUAUGAUCCUAUGUCAUCCUACUUAUUUUAAUUGAAAACAUAUAUAGUAGCCUAAAGACAAUAGAUUCCUAGGGAUAAAAUAUGAAACAUUGCAUCAUACAUGGUCUGCAUAUGCAUUGGGACAAGUUUACAUCAUUUGUUUUUGCAUAUACGUAGGUAUUAUAUAAAUAUAUGCCUCUUUUCAAUUACCCGACCAACGAAAAUUUUUUGCCAUAGUCUCCCCUAUAAUAUGGACUAUCCACAUGCACGAGGGCAUGCAUAAAUUGCCAUUUAUAGGCACCCAACACAGAACCCAAGAUAAAUAUAUCAAUUCCCAAUAAAAACAAUUGUAGGCAGACUCAUAUAUGGCAUGUGACUUUGCGAGUGAUGGGAUAAAUUUCAGUAUAUUAUCAUAAUAUUAAAUUAAAAUUAGUAGCAUUUGUGACACCCCCGAAUCCAGAUACUCAAAUUUCCCUCAGAUUUGAUGUUCACUCAACAAAAUAAUUAACAUUUAACUACCCAUAAUAAUGAUAACCAUAAAAUUGAAAUGGAAAUCCUCCUAAUAUAGGGUUAUAACAUCUUAAACGAAUAAAUCUCAGGGUAUCUAACCUUAAUACAUCAGUUGCGGAAACAUCUUAAACAAAUAAGUCUUAAACAUUACAUCAUAAGUCUUAAUAUAAACAUUCUCAAAUAUUAAAUAAGUCUUUAUCAUUUGCUUGUUUUGCCCUUGCCCUUACUUGUGGAUGGCUCAUCAACUUUCUCAAUCUUAGCUGCAAUGUUAUUUUGCAAGAGUGAGAAACAAUUGCCCACAAGUUUAAUAAUAGAAUAAUAAUAAUAACAUGCGAAUAAACAAUGGAUACUGAACCAAAAGAAGUCUCGGCUUUUGAAUCAAGAUUAGAACAGGAAUCAAAAGUACAUCUGAGGGUCACAAGACCAUGAACUAUGUUCAAGGUUAUCAAGUAUUUCUACUUUAAACCUUUAACAGUCGUAAGACUAUAUGGACCUAACUUCUCAUACUUAGGGGGAUCAACCCUAUAUACCAUGUAUGUGCACAACAUCUUAACGCUAUCGCGUAAUAUAAUCCCAUGUAGUAGGGUUGUUCAACUCAGCUUUGCCAUUAGAGUCCGCACCGAAGGAAGUUUGGUUUGGAUUGAUCUCAAGGGUAAUUUAGAGUUUUAUAAUCAUGAACUAAGGAUUAGUUGAAUCAAUAAGGAUUUAAUAAUCAUUCACGAGUUCGUUAACAACGUAAUAUAUAAAGGAAUACAAUAGAAAUGAUAGAAUAUUGUUGAAUCAUAAGUAGAUAAGCAUCAUAUACAAGACAUGGUUCCAUAAAGGAAUAGUAGGCUUAACCAAAACAUAGGCAUUGAAUAAUAUAAGAAGCCUUGCUUGAAUAAUAAGCUAAGGUUUGCUCAAUAAUUAGAAUUUGAAAAGCUUGUACAACUAUAAUCAAGUUAGAGAUAAGGAACUUAAUCAAUAAUGAUAUAAAAUAACAAUUUGCUCAAUGUAGAAUUAGGGUUUAGAAACUUGCUCAAUGUAAAGAAGUAAGGUUUAGAAACUUGCCUCGUGCAUAGGCUAAAUGAUUACUACUCAUGUUCACCACAAGUCCUACACACAUACCAUAUGCAUUCACAACAUUCAUUAGUUACACUCAUAUUAACCUCAUAGGUUUAGUUCCCUCUUUUAAUACAACUUGUUAACUUAGUUUAAGUUCUGCCCAUUACCAUCAGUCUUAUAUACAAGACUGAAGUCUCACAUCUUAAGUUUGAUCAUCAAUACAUCUUCUCAUGAACAUAACGUUUAGCCCUUAUACAACUUAUCAAAUUACCAUAAAAUUUCAUCACAUGUAUGUUAACAAUCUGAUAUGACAUCAUAUUACAUGUCUAACACAUUAUUAUGUUCAUUAGCCUAGGUUAGACUAACAUGUAGUGGAGUGCACAUGACGAAAAUUGAAAUUGUCCAACUCUGUUACCCCUACCAGGGUGGGAUUUUAUAUAGAAAUAAGACCCGCUGGGACGGAGAAAUAAGCCUGGUAACACCCUCCGGGGCGGGGUCACCCAGAUACAAUUUCUGCAGUUUGUGACUGCACUAUUCAUCAGACCAAAAUUCAUGAAUUUCACAUGAAAUCAGUAGAUUUAACAAACCCAAAAGACAUAGACUUCACACAAUUAUUACCAAGCAUGCAUACAUCGAUUUUAAACAACAAAACUACUGUAUUCAUCAGAUUUAACCCCUUUAAAUUCAUGUUCUUGCUAAAAAGCUCAUUUUAGACAUCCUUAGCAAAUCAUCACGCCACAGAUUCAUUUCUUGACCAAAUCAGUUCGUGUAACAUGCAUUGUUUUCGUAUUUAAACAUAUUAAUACAAUCAAUCGUCAAUUUACAGAUUAUAACAUGGAUUAAAUACUAAUUUUGGUUCUAAAAUUAGUCUUUUUGUACUUUUUAUAACAAAACUUAAAUCUUUAUUUUAAAGCUUAUUUCAUACAAAUUUAACUUCUAAAAAUCAUUUUUAAGUCAAAUAUAACAGAUUAUAUAUACAUGUUAACAUAUAUAACAACUUAUCUAAUCGAUUCAUCAACCAAAACCCCAAUUUUAACACCAAAAUCAUAUAUAUUGUAUAUUUAUCAUCAAAACUCAAGUUCUUCAUGCUUUAACAGAUUUCAUGAAUUUUGAUUACUCUAAAUCAAGGAUAAUUGAUAUAAAACUUGUUAUAAACACAUACAAUACCAUAUUUCUAACAGUCAUCCAUAAAAUAUCAAUUAUAGAGAACUAAAAUAUGUUUUUAUGGAAAAACUUAAGAACAUAAUAAACAAGGAUUAGAAUUUGAAUUCUCACCCUUUGAUUCUUAUUUAGAUUCUAGGAAUUCCUCCUAUGAUUCUCCCAGUCUUCUUCCUUAAACUCAAUUCUCUCAAAUUAUCUUUUUUCUCUUUGUAAUUUCUCUGACUUAGGUUUUAGGAAAUAAAAAUGCGUAGAAGACACAAGACAGAUAUAAUGCAUAUAACUGAUAUACAUGGGUAUCAGUUAUGCGCAUUAAGGCUCAACAGUUACCCAUGGUCCUAAGGUAUUGUUUGGUUUUUUUCAAAUUGACUCCCUUUCCCAUUAUUUUAAUUAACUUGUUUAUUAUAUAGUUUAUUUGUCACACUUAACUAAUCAAAUAAUAUUAUUUAAAUUUAAUUAAAUUAAAGGCAAUAUUACCCAUUAAAUCACAUCAUCGCAUAAUUAAAAUUAUCAUUUAUUAAAUAUAACACAUAAUUUAUUUUUUCAAUAAAUCUCUAAUUAAUUAUUUAAUUAAUUAGAACAAUACUAAAAUUAUUUAACAACUCAUUGAAUUUAAUAAUCUCAAUUAAAUCCACACUUUGAAUUAUAACAUUAUUCCUCAUUAAUUUAAUUAAUCACUACAAAAAAAUAGACAUUUGGCAAUAAUUUUUUGUGCAAUGACUUAUAAAGUCAUUGCCAAAAAUGCAUGUUUAGCAAUGAAAUUUGUCAUUCGUUGCAGUUUAUGAAAGGCUUUCAUUUUUCAUAACGAAAUUCACAAGUCGUUGUAAAAAUUUGUUGCCAAAUCGUUGGCGGAAAAAAAAACACACCGCCUAUUUUCUUUUUUAUAACCGAUGAGAUUUCUUCUCAUCGUCGGCAACAAAAAAAAAUUUGUUGCUAUAUUUUGUUGCCUAAUAUAGGCCACAUUCAUAGGCAAUAAUUUUUUUUCGUUGCUUAUUUAAUACAUUUUUUUUGCAAUGACUAGUAAAUUGUUACCCAAAAUUAAGACAAAGCCAAUAAGCAUGCCUCAGUUUUCCCCCAAAACGCUUCAUUUUUCAUUAAAAUUUUUUUAUUUAUUUGGACACAAUUUUAUACAGUGAAAUGUUUCACUCCGUUCGUCUCAAAAUAAAUGCCCAGUUUUUAUAUUUUUUAAAGUUAUAAUUUUUGAAAUUAAAAUUGAGCACAUAUAGAUAUAUUUUCUAAUUUACAAAAAUUAAAGUUUAUAGUUAAUUAGAUGUAGUUUAUAAUGAUCAUAUUCGCACACUUAUAAUUUUGAAAAAAAAUAUAAUUAAUUUUCAAAAUAAUUUACAUAAAUUUUUCUUGUAACUCGUUAUUUUACAUAUAUACUUUUUGACAAGGGAUGGGCAAAGAAUCAAAAUCGCUCCCGAAAUUGCACCAAAAAUUGACCAAACUGCACCGAUUAAGUCGCGCCAAUGGUUCCGGCAUAGACCAAUUAAGUUACACCAAUGGUGUGUAAGUUCUUUUUUAACUCUCCUUUUUCAAAUUCUCCUUUUUUCUUAACUUGUAAAUUUUUUUAUAAUCAAAUAUUAAUUUCUCUUUAUAUCUUUAAUUAGAGGGUGUUUAGCAAUGACUUAUAAGUUGGUCAAACUAAAUUUAAGUCAUUUGUUAUUAUUUAGUGUUUGACAAUAACUUAAAUUUUAACUUUUUUUUGAAUUACAAGUCAUUAUUAAAUUUUUUCAUGCUUCAUGUGCUAUAUUUUUUAUGUAUUAGAUAAAUUUUACUACCAUCUAUAUAUAUAUAUAUAUAUAUAUAUAUAUAUAUAUAUAUAUAUAUAUAUAUAUUAAAAUAUUCAUAAUUACGUUAUAUAAAUAUUCAUAGUUACUUUGUCGACGUCGGGAUUUUUAUUGUCCCUUUUCUGUUCUGGUCUUUUGGUGUUCUCAUGUUAGGUGAAAUUUGUUUGAAAAAACAAGUUGUGAAAAGGUCCGAUAUGUAUAUGUCGGCGAUUGGACUGUAAGAGUCGCCAGUUGGUAUUUUUAAAUGGUUGCACCAACUCAACCGAGAAAAGGUUUGCACAUUAACCUAGUGAUGUAACACUGCUUAACAGAUCUGUGAAACCGAGAUUCGUUAGGGUCCGGGGGCUUGAUUAUGCGGAGAAAAGGUGUUAGGCACCCCCCGACAUCUGUGUUACCACGGUGACCGCCACUUUUCAAUUAAACUAUUAUAUGAAUGUGUGUAUGUGUGUGUGGGUCAAUGUGCAAUUAUCGGGAAGUAGUGAUAUGUCUCGUUUGCACCUAUAUACAAAGGGUUUGAAUUUUGUAUAAAAGUUUAGUUUUAACAAGAUAUAACAAUGAUAUUUUGUAAAAGAGGUUUUCAAACCCUUAUGCUCAAUAGUAAUUGAGGCCUUUGAUACUUCCAUUUUAUUAUGUGUUCAGUUUAACUGCUUUUAUGUUUGAGAUGUGAGGCAUCUUCGAGAAAAUAAGAUAUAUAGCAGUGCCGAAUUCCUUAUGGGCAUGAGAGACAUCUAAGGAAAUUCAAACACUGUGAAUAAUUUAAAAGCUGGAUACAACUGAAAAUGUCCAUCACGGGAACCGAAUCUAGAUCCAGAAGACUGAAUUUGUGAUCACAUGAUUCCUAAACUCACAUGAUGUUGUAGUUUGUAUGAAAGCUGUAAGCAGUUAAAUAUAUAUAAAAGCUAUAAAUAUAUAUAUAUAUAUAUGAACGAUCAACCACCACGGAGUAAACUCCAUGGGGAUUAGAAAUGUAAAUAUAUAAAAGCUGUAAAUAUAUAUAGAGAUAAUCAACCACCACGAAGUAAACUCCAGGCGGGACUUAAUGUAAAAUAAAGCAGUAAAAGGCCACAAAGUAAAUUUCAGGCCUAACAAAAAUCUAAAUAUAUAUAUAUAAGCAAUAAACGCUCCGGAUGUGAAUCCAGGCUCAAUCGAGGCAUAACUCGAUGAUGUUAGUAUAAAUAUAUAUAUAAGUAUAUAUAUACAAAAGAAAUAAAAAGCCACGGACCGAAGUCCGGGCAUACGCACACAACACGACUCUCAAAGUGAAUAAUUGUGAGUGCAGAAAGUGGAGAAAGGCUUUAAGAAAUGUAAGAAGUCUUACAGCGGGAUGUCAAGAAGACUUCAAAUAGCUUUAAUUGAAUGAACACUUGGUUUUCACCGGUAAAAUAUAGCAAAAUAUAAGCUCGCAAGUGUUUAAAAUGAGAAAGCACUAAGUUUAUAGUGUGUACAAAGCAAAAUUGACUGGGCUUCCUCGCCUUUUCUCUUUCUAAAAUGGCCACCCCAAGCCCUUUAUUUAUAGAGGGGGGAGCCACAAGUGUACCUACGGCAGCCGCAGAUGUAUCUGCGGUUGCCCGAGGUGCCCCAGGCUCCGUGGGUCCCGCCGUCUCAAAGUACGUGCAUGCAUGCAACGCGUUGUCCACUCGAACCUUCAUAACUUUCAAUCCGGGUAUCCGAUUAAGGCGUAUAAUACCUUUUCGGAAUGCUGUUGUCGAGAGCUACACAAUGACAUGUGAUAAGAGGUUAUACGAAGUCGGGAAGAUAGGGCCAUGCCUAGAUCUUUGGGUCUUCAAAUUCCAUCAAGUGUGCUGUCUUGUGUAGAAAUCACUCGGGAUUUAAGCUAUGGUUCUUGUAGGACACUUCUGUGUAGAAUGUAUGUUGAAAUGUUGUUGAGAUGGCGCAAUGUGGGAUCGAGGUGGCAAAAUGAUGAUUUUUCCCUUCACUGGGGUUAUCUCCGGUUUGGGCUAAUUUAGCAGUCAUUGCUCAGGGUUAUCUCUGAGAUUGGGCUGCUGUGAGUACUAAAGGUCCUCAGGGUUGUCUCUGAGGUGUGCCUGACCUCUUAGGGUUGUCUUAAGGGUUGGAAUUGAGUGCCUCGGGGUUAUCUCUAAGGUUGAAGCUGAUUGCAAAGGAUUGGAAUGAGCUUUUUUGGGGUUAUCUCUGGAACUGCAACUGCAUUUCUUGGAGUUAUCUCUGAGGUUGAAACUGAAACUCCUGGGGUUAUCUCCGGGAUGGAAAAACUAAUAAUUUCGGGGUUGUCUCCAGAACUGGAACUGCAUUCAUCGGGGUUGUCUCUGAGGUUAGAACUGAAACUCCCAAGGUUGUCUCCGGGACUAGACUGAGUAUCUCGAGGUUGUCUCUGGAACUGGAACUAGUUGGUCCUCCAGGGUUAUCUCUGAAAGACGAUUCUAUUCUCCUACAAUGUUAGUAAUAGGAAUACAGAAAUUUUUGAGUGUCUACAGAUGUCCCUCUUUAUCAUAUUCAUGCAAUGUAAUGGUAUGGAUAGGAUAAAGAAUACUAGACACUUGAAAUGUGACAAGAUAAUCAUAAUGCAAUGUACUGCAGCAUGAUGUAUAUGCAUGAUGUAUGUGGUUUGUUGGACCUUUUUCCAACAGGAUGUGAUGACUAUUCCCACGGCUUCUGAUGGGGACUGGAGUUAUCACUGAUGAUCAUGAAGAACUGCUUGGAUGUGUACUCCAAAGCUCUCAGGAACUUCCAGGAUGUUGACGUUGGGGUUAUCACCAAAGUCCUAAAUCCUUGAUACAAACUUCCCACUGAGGAUGUAUCUCUCAUGUACAAGAGAUUUUGGGGAUUUUUGUUCUGUCUAAUGAAGAUGUGUAUAACAUAUUCCAUCAUCAGGGAAGAUGUUCUUUCCUAGUUUGUAUUGUCAGGUCCUUCCAUUGCUCUGUCGGAGUUAUUGCCAAUAGUCUGUGUUGUCAGGGCUGCCUGACCCUCGCUAAAUGUACAUCAACGGAUGAGAUCCCUGCUGGGGAUAACGUUAAGGCUGCUUGACCUUCGUUGAUGUGUGUAUCAAUGGAUGAGAUCAUCGGAUAACUUCUGAUGCUUCGCUGGAUUUACCUUCCAGUGACUGAAUGUCGUCAAGGUUGCUCAACCUUCAUUGACGUGUGUAUCAAUGGAUGAAUUGGAUAAAGUUUUCACUGGGGGAAAAUGUUUUAGAGUUACAACCCCGGACUGAUGGCAUUGGACCUUCGUGAGGUAUUGUCGAGUUUAGUUUGCAACAUUUGUGAUCAUCGGUAUAGUAAACUUUUCAUUUGGGCAAAUACCAAUGAGUGAUAAGUAGACCCGCAGUUUGGUCUCUGAAAACUAGGAUUUCAGGCUUUUAUGCUCAAUCGCAUAUCAUCUUUUUUCCUGAUUUGACUUUUUUAGCUUGUGAGACCUCCUUUGUAACUCAAAUUAGACCAAGCCGGAGGGGUGGGCCCCACCCAGGGGAGCCGCAGGUACACCUGCAGCCAACCGUGGGUGGCUUUAAGGCACCUGUUGCUUUCAUAAGUCAUUUUCAAGUUGCGCCACACAGAGAAUCCGAGAGCUCUUCUUCAGAUUUGCUGAGUUCGGGCAGCUUUCUGCAAAAUAUGUCACCGUACAAGUGUUCUACACUAUCCUGGUAACGUAUGCAUGUCUGCUUUUCCAAUUUUUAUCCGUUGGAAAAUGAGUUAUCAUAUGAAAUGCUUCUAAACACAUAUUACUGAAUAUGCAUGCUCAUAUGACUUGAUAAAAAAUAUUUAAUACAGUAAAUGUUAAUAUUUAACCAUGCUAAACAUAAUGAUGUGAAAAAAUUUAACUUUUGAAAUAGUCAAAUUAACACUUUUUUCUGCUAUUUUUUAUCCUAUUUGAGGACAAAUGAACAAAGGUGGUAAAGCAAAGUAAUCCUGGUAAUUAGGCUACCCUUACGGAUUAUGACUUUAAUAUUUUUAUGCAUAUAGGAUGUUUAUGAUUGUGGGUAGGUGUGCUACUGAAUGACCACCUAGUCAUGCCUAUGUGCAUGUGGAUAGUCCUAUUUACAAAGGAGACUCUGGCAAAAUUUUCCAAAAUGUAGGCAUUGGGUAGUCAUGCAUUUUUAACACUACUGUAGGCAUAUGUUAAAGUAAUGCAUGCAUGCAUAUAGUCAUAAAAUGCAUUUGAAAAGCUCCAGGUUAGAGUUUACCACACCCUUUCUGAAGUGAUUUGGAGACUUGUAUCCAAAUAUAUGGAUCCGGAUCAGCCGAGUAGUUCCCGCAGGACCACUUCAGGUGUGCGGAGGAGGGCUUCUAAUGUACCUCAACCCCAUUCAGUUAGACAACCUCGUCAUUUGAUGGAGGUGGUGAUCCGUCCUAUCCGGGUUGAGGUACCAAAUGUUGAGGACGAGGAGGAGGAUGUACCGAUUGUGGACCCCACUCCUGCUACUUAUGUUCCCCGCAGGGAUCUUCCAGGCAUUCAGGUGAUGAUUCUAGAGCUCCUGAAUGAUUUGAGUUGACACCCCUCAAUUUACUUACAUGCAAACAAGGUACAAGCUGGAUUUGAUCUUCCUUUUUCCUAUAGAUGUGGAGCAAGGAUUUUGAUGUUGAUUUGCUUUAUGAUGUAGGAUCCUGGCUUUACGCAGACUCAGUCUCUCCAUUUGUUGGACUGUGAGGUGAUGAUGACGUCGAUGGAUUGGCGAUUUAUCACUGGUAUAGAGUUUGGAGGGGCGCCAGUGCCUUGUACGGCGAAUAUUACCCCGACUGUCGUCAAAUCCUUGCUAGGAGUCCUGGUUGAGGCGCUCAAGGGUAGGACAGUUCGUACAGGUCCUUUGAGUGUGGAUGUUAUGAGUGGGCUGUUGAGUGAGCCCAUACCUGAUGAUGUGAGAGUUAGGAAUCGCAUUCUUCGGCGAUUGUUCCUGAUAAUCAUUAGGGGCUACUUCAUAGCGGAUAACUCUUCCACCAUAUCAUUCACUUUGGUCAGUACCACACGAGAUGUGGACCGUAUUGGAGAGUAUGACUGGGGUUCCUAUACCUUCGCCUAUUUCCUCAAGGGUAUGCGUUCGUAGGGCUUGACGGAGGCUUGGCUAGGAUUUUACCUAUUUCUACUGGUGAGUAUUUCUCUUAUGAUUUCCCAUAUGCAGGUUAAGAGUGUUGACUGACAGCAAAUGUUUGCCUUUGUGUUGGCAGUUUUGGGCCUUUGAGAGGCUCUCAUGCUUGCGUCCUAUGAGUGUGUUAGGUUUAGAUACCUAUCCACGAGGAUGGAGAUGGCAUCACUCCAUACUGGCGGAGGUUCCUGUAGCUGAGGGUUUCACCCAUUGUCAUCUACAGUUGGAGUUCUUGACAGCUGAUGCUAUCACUUGGAUUCCCUAUUCUGGGGAACAUUUGACUGUUGGGUUUCAGGUCGGGUACCCGACUGGUUUCGAGUAUAUGAUAUCCACCCGUAGGAUUCCUCUCUUCAUAGAUGGAGGAUGGGAGCUCUAUUUGGGAGAGCGUGCUAUUAGGAGCACUAUAGAGGAGAUUCGUGUACCGAUCUUGCCUCCUGUCAGGCAUUAUUGGCCUGUUUCACAGUCGCUUGUCAGUGAUAUCCCAUUGAUGGGCGUUGACGGCUUUACUUUUUCAAAGGGUCCGUAUACUCAGGAUAUGUUCCAUCACUGGUGGUCCCCUCGUACUAUCAGAGCCCAGACCCUCGCCACUCAGUUCAUGGGGGAUAUGGUUCCUAGGUCCAUGAUGAUGACGGAUUGGAUGGUCUAUUUCUGAGAUCCGACUCAUUAAACACAGAUUGAAAGUUUGACCCGGCAGUUCGACCGGGCACAUUUCUUUAUCCUGCACUUGGGUAGAGAUCCUUCAGAGGCAGAUACUUUUGAUCCUUCCAGCUCCGGGCCUGGCCAUUUAGGUGACCUGUAUGUUUUUGUCGACGUAGAUCCUCCAUUGUAUAGGCCUGACAUCCCACUUGGUGGAGAUCCAGUGACUCAGGAGGAGUUACAUUAGGUAGACAGGAUUGAUGAUGUUGACAUUGAUACCAUUGUCUUCUUCUGAUGUGUAUUCUCGCUAUAUCUUUUGAUAGGCCUCUAUUAGAUACUGGGUGGAUGUGUCCCAUUCUUGUUAUAUCUUUUGAUAGACCUCUAUAAGUUAUUGGGCGUUUGUGCCCCAUUUCCCUGUAUUUUUAGUUGUACAGAGAUGAUGUGCUUAAGAAUGUAUGUACUAUUUUCCAUUCCCUACAUCAUAUUGCCAUCUAUUGUUGAUCAUGCAUGUAUCAUAUUAUGCAUAUGUAUGUCCAGAGAUAUUCAACAUUGACCCCUGCAUAGUCUUAUGAUACGGCCCACACAUAUGUCUUCUUCGACAGUCAACCGCAUUGAUCACAUCCCACCAGUAUUGGUAGCCUCCCGUCUGAGGUCAUGGUAUGAUAGUUUGCCACCUCCAGACCCGGUGACCGUAGAUCAGUUAUUACAACAUUCCAUGACCCUCCUGAUGUUCUAGGUUUUUGUGGGCUUUGUAGAUGGAAUGUUGGAGCAUUGGGUAUUUGAGAGGCAGGUUUUCCGAUUGGGGACCCAGGAGUCGACUCUCACCUUCGAGGAGUACGAGCGGUUGACAGUUUUGUCACUAGACAGGACUUAUGCUUGGAUGGCUAUCGAUGACAUGAGCUGCCAGUUCAUGACCCUCACCAGGCUGAGGUGUAGAGUAGUAGAGGAUGAGAUUACAUUCGGUCAUGUGGUGUCCCAGCGUUUUCUGAUAGACAAAUUUGGCUCAGUGGACAGUUAUGCACGACUUUGGGGAUUUUACCACGUCGGAGGAUCAGUGGCAUAUGGCUAGAGUAGACGUACUCAUGAUGUGCGUAGUGGCUUAUGUGUACAUGCCACUGUAUAUGGAUGAGCUGGACAUUGGUGUUAUCAUGGCAGUGAGAGCUCUCAAGGAGGGUCAUACCAUUGUGCCGAUGAUUGUGACAGAGACAUUGAGGUCGACCAUAUAUUGCCACACUUAUCCUGCAUGGGUAUUCAUAGGUAGCUCGGUCCUGAUGUAUGUGUGGUUUAUGUCACACCUGAGACCGAUUGGCACCUUCCAAUGACAUGGGUAUUAUUUUUUCCAUGAGAUAGCCAUAUCUUACUCCUUUCAUCCAGCGGAGUGUACAGACGCUAUAUUCUGUUCGGUGUUUUUGGUAGGGAUCGGAGAUCCGUUUGACAUUUUGCCGUGUACAAGGCUUAGUUCACCCUACAGCUUCAUUACUCAUGCAUCUGGCAUGGAUUAUCUCCCUCUGGCUGGUUUGAGGGGAAUGACCACUUAUCACCCACUGGCUGUGUGUCACAGUUCGACCAGUUUCAAGACGUCCAUCCUUUUGAGGGGGCAUUAGGUCAGCGUUUGGCUUCUUGCCAUUUGUUAGAAGAUGACAGAUCUAAAGUGUAUGCAUGUUAGGAUCAGCGUGAGCUAGCUGAGUUUUCAGUUAGCCAUUUGGCCUGUUUGGCAGAGUAUUCUGCAUGGAUGGAGAUAGAAACUACAUCAGUUGCAAUAGUAUCCACAGUAUCGGGGAUUGAUUAUGAUGGUGGAGAGCCCGUAGAGGACAUUGAUUCUCCUACUGAGGAGUUGUUUGCUGGUUUGACAACAACUCUUGUUGAUUCUCCCAGUAUAACUGCUACUAUGACCCCGCAUUCAGCAGAGUAUUUAGAGCAGAGCCUGCAUCUGAUGACAUUUGAGAGAGAUCAGGCUAGGGCCUUGAUGUUGACAGCUCUUGCUGGUAGAGAUGUUGCUUUAUUGGAGAGAGAUGAUGCUUUAACUCAUAGAGACACCACUAUUGCUAAGCAUGAUGAGACUAGAUCAUCUAGAGAUGUAUUGAUUAUUGAGUGGGAUGGCGCUAUAUCUGCCCGGAAUGUAGCCGUUACUGAUAGUACUACAGCGAGGUCCCAUACUACUGCUAUUGUUGCAGAAAUGAGGGCUUUUAUUGAUGAGCACAGUGUCACCAUGCAGUUGGCUGUGGAUUUGUUGGCUCGUGUAGAUACCCUUAGGCAGGAGCUCACAGCGUUACCUCUUUUUUCAGAGAGAGAUGCCAUGUUGGACUUGAUAGCUCGCAUAUACACUGAUUUAUAGAUGGGCUUGUAUUUUUCUGCACAGUCUAGCUUAGCCAUUUUGUCAUGUACAGUACAUAUUGUAUAUAUCAAACAUCAUUAUAUAUGGCAGGAAAAUAUAUUUUGAUUCACUUCCCUUUUAGUUGUGCCUUGUUACAUGCUUGAUAUUUGUAUGCUUCUCUAGGACUUGUGAUCUUGAUGUAUUUUGAACUCAUCCUUGAUGGGUGGACAUUGAGAUGUCUCAGGAUCUUUCAGAAUGGAUCGUUGAUCUGUGUGUAUUCCCUACCCUUUGGUGUAUUGGGACUGGUUUCUGUAUGUAGUAAUGGGGAGGAGUGUGCCUUUCCUCUCUGAGGUUGACCCCACCACAGAUGGUCGUCGGUACUCCUUUGUAUGGGGGAGUCCAGGUAGUUCCAUCUCUUAUGGAUUGGUGUUUCUCUUUGAGGACUCAACCGUAGCUUAGAUGGUCGUCGAUUCUCCCAUUUGUGUGGGGAGAUCAGUUAGUUCCAUCCCUUUGGUCUAAAGUCGAUAAAGUGUGGUGAAUUGAAGGUUGAUCCCAGUACCAUGUGACAAGUUUUUGUGUUUUGGUAGGGGUAAGACUGAACCAUGAAUGGUUGCCUACGUACUCCUAUUGAAGAGGAGAUCAGGUCUGCUAGUUCGAACCUAGUGUAAGAGGUUCAACGAUGUAUGUGAAAGGGUGUAGAAGGGUGUAGAAGUGUUUUUUUUAUGUGGUGUGACCGGGCCAUAAAAACAAGGUUCUAAAAGGCGCUAGGCGGGAGGCGGGCGGCCAGGGGAGGCCUAGCGCCUGGGGGGCCUAGGCAGGAUUUUUUAUUGUAAGUCAAUUUUACUAUUUUAUCUCACAUUAUUCUAACAAAACAAUAAUAUAAAGCAAAAUAAUCUAUAAUAAAGAUAAUAAAGGCAUUUGUUUAAAGUUUAAACACAUUCAUAUAGCCAACUUCAAAGUUUAAACAAACACACAAUUGUUCAAAAUUCAAACACAAACAAAUAAUCAAAAAUACAAACUAAUAGUCUUCAUCCCCAUAUCCCUCUAUAUUUCUAACUCUUCAUCUCCAUAUCCCUCCAAGAUAAUGUCUCCAUUGGACUCACACUCAUACUCCUCAUCUCCCUCUUCCUCUAUGUCAUCAUCAGACAAAAAAUCUUCUUCAUGAAGUUCUCUUACUCCAACAAUUCUACUACUUCUCCUAGGCUCUAGCAUGUUAUCCGCUCUGGAUGUUUCACCAACCGUCUCCCAAAUAAGGCCCGAACAACCCUUAACCUCAUCAUCACCACCUUCAACAAUCCAUCCUUGCACUUUUGAAGCAUCACUUGCUAGUAGCACAUCUACUUUCCUAUCUUUCUCCCAUUUCUUUUUGUUAUUAAGCCUUGCAUUAAAUUGGACAUAGACUAGAUUGUUCAACCUUGUUGCAUCUAGUCUAUUCCUCUUCUUUGUAUGAAUCUACAAAAAAUGAAAUUGUUUUUUAAAAAAAUAAAAAAAUUAUAUAUUUAUAUUAGAUUUUACUUAAUAAACCACUUACUAGUUACUAUAUACUAUGUAGUUGAUAUUUACCCCCUCAAAAGUACUCCAAUUUCUCUCACACACAGAUGAACUAGUAGUCAACGAAAGAAUCCUUGUUGCCAUCCUUUACAAGUUAGGUGUACUAUUACCAUAAUUGGACCACCAUCCAACUAGUCAUUAAAGAUUGUAAAUUAUUAACAAAUAUUUUAACAAGUAUUAAAUAGUAAAGAAAGAUUAAACAAUAAAUAUUUAUACUCGAAUCAUAAUUAUUAUCAUUUGUUGCACAUCCCGCCGCCGCUAAAGGUCUUGCAAACCCACCCUCUUUUUUUUAUACUUCAACAACUCUAUAUUUAUGACAAGACUUUGCAUAUUGAAGUCAUCGGGAAAGAACUUCUCAACACAAGUAAACAUCGCAUCCAUGACAAGUGGAUCACUUUGUAUGUUAGGAUCUUUAAAGAAGUGAUAAGGGUUCAAUUGGUAAGCCGUCAAAUGCAAAGGACUAUCAAGCCGGUCUUUGGCUUUAGCAUCGAUAAUCGCGAGAAUGGGACGAUAGUUAGUCCCAUUAUUUUUGAAUGCCUCUUUGAUCUCUUCAUUUGCUUUUUUGAGUUCUCCAUAUAAAAAACCCAUUGAUGGCUUUUGGUCUCCAUCAACAAGGCGAAGCACCUUUACCAAUGGAGCAAACACUUUCAAGCAUAGUGUUACUUCAUUCCAAAAACUCAAACUCAAGACAGUAGCAUACGCCAUUUUUCCCUUAGUAUUUUUUGACCAUUUGCAUUGAUCCCAUUCAGUACUAGUAAACAUAUACCUCAACUUCUCUUUCUUUUCCAUCAAACUUUGCAAAGUUAAGAAAGAAGUUGCAAAUCUAGUAGUGCCAUGACUCACUAUGUCUCUCUUUUUUGUAUGUUUCCUCAUCAAUGCCAAUGUCUUAUGAUGUGCAUAAAUAAAGAUAGUAAAGGCCUUUGCUUUCUCAAUCACUCCCUUAAACUUUGGUAGCUUGCCAAUUCCUUCAAGCAUGAGGUUCAAAGUGUGAGUGGCACAAGAAGUCCAAAACAUAUGUGGCCUCUUUAUCAUUAACAAGUCUGCCGCGGUCAUGUUGUUGGAAGCAUUAUCAGUAACAACUUGCACUACAUUUUGUGGCCCAACUUGUUUAAUGAAAUCAUCUACAUAUUUGAAAAUAUAUUCUUUAGUGUGUGCUUCCUCAGAAUCUUCUUUACAAGAAAGAAAAGUUGUGCCCUCUUUGCAAUUCACACACAAAUUCAUGAUACUUCUUCUUUUUCUAUCAGUCCAAGCAUCGGUCAUAAUCGAACAACCAUUGAAAGACCAUUCCUCGUCUUACUUCUUGAGUGACUUCUUAGUCCUCUCUACCUCCUCUUUCAAUAAUGGCUCCCUUAGUUGGUAUUGGCUUGGAGGUUGGUAACCCGGGCUGUAACGACCGAGAAAUUCGGAUUUUAUUGUAAAAUGAUUUUAUUAAAUUAAAUAAUAAUAAAAUCAUAUUCUUUGUGAUAUCAAGAUGGUUGUCAUUCUAUAACCUAUUGAUGUUGGAAUGUCGUAGUAUUUGAGCUACGUGAAGGAAUUAAAGUGUUUGAAUUUCUAAGACGAAAAUAAAAGUUUUCCGAGAAAUUUUCUGAAAAACACUAUUCAUCGGUAUUUGCUCGGGAAUUAUUUUUCAAUUUUCGAGAAAUACGUAAUGAUAGAAUAUCAAGGUAAGACGAAUUAUGUAAUAAUAAUCUAGUUAUGGAAAACGUAAUAUUUCGCUUGCGAACUUAAUUCGAGAAUAUUAAGGAAAGCGAAGUAUUAGUAAGAAAUCGUUAAGGGUAUGAUACUUAUGUAUUGUACAAGGGAAUGAAAACGAGUAUAAUACAAAGUAUUAUACGAGUUUGUAUGAAGGAAGGAAUAUCGUAUAUAAUAAAGUUGUAUACGAAUUAUAAUACGAGAAUAAUACAUAGACAAUAUGUAUAUGUAAUGGAUUUGGAAGAUUGGUUAACAAUUGGUACAAGCCCAAGUGAAUUAAAUGUUAAGGCCAAAUGUUAAUUAAUGAACAAGUUAAUUAAUGCAAGCCCAAAAGAUAGGUUAAACUAAGCCCAAAUUAAAGUCCAAUGGGUUAUGGUGACCCAUGGGGCAAACCAUACUAAUGUGGUUAAUGUGUGGUAACCAAGAUAAGUGGUGACCAAGUUAAGUGGUAACCAAGUUGAUGUAAUGACCAAGCAAAGGAUAGGUUUUGUGCCAUGCAAGUAAUGAAUAGUAAGGAGGUUCAUAAGGAGAUGGGAUUGGUUUAAAGUCCAAACUACCCUAACUUUGAAAAAUCUAUAUAUAGAGGAGGCUUACAAGCCAUUUUUUAGUUGUUCAAAUAAUCCAAACACUCUUUCAAAGUGCUUAAUUGUUAGGGUGAUUAAGUUGCAAAUAAGUUACUUACAUAAGAAGAAGAAGAAGACUACUUACAAAGACUUCAAAUGUAAGACUCCUCUAAUUAUCUUCUAUCUCUAUUCAUGAUAGGUUGAUAAGCAAAGAUGAAUUAAGGAACAUGAAUGUUAAGAAGUGAGAAGAAUGUGUAAGUAAUGAACUAAAGCCACAUAAGUUGGUAAUAAGUCAUUUAAGCUAGCAUAAGUUAUAAACUUAUGUGAAAGUAUUAUGAACUUGUCAUGAGUUUGUUAAUGAAAGUAAAGGAAUUGUAUGUAUAUUAAUCAUAUAUACAUGAAUGAAACUAUAUGUGAAAACAUGUAUGCAUGAUGAUUAAAAGAUAAUAACUUUCAUAAGUUAUGAACAAUGAAGCUAUAAGUAGUUUAUAAUUGAAUAAGUUAUAAGCUCAUGAAUGAAUUAAGUUAAAAUCCAACAAUGGAAAUAAGUUAUUGUAUUAAGUAUGUGAAUAUGUUUAUAGAAUGAAAUGAAUGCAAGUGAGUAAUGAACAAAUCAUAAGUAAUGAAGAUUUGCCAGAAAUCGAACGAUUAGACGAUAAUCGUCGAAUUCAUGAAAUUCCCAGAUUAGAAGUCAAAUUUUGAGUUUGAACUCGGAAAUGUAAUUUUCCAAUGGAGACAAGUCAUAUUCGUCAUUUUAGAGUUGCGAACUCAAGAAUGACUGAAUUCCGACUUAUAAUGAAGAAACGAGCGUUGAACGUUCACGAACGUUUAUCGUUUACGUUAAAAAUGAACCAAUAGGUGAAUUUUUAGCAAACAAAGUCAAAUAGAUAAAAUUUUUGCAUGAACGCGUAGAUUACGUAAUUUGUGAACCGUAGGCUUUUGAACGAGCCAAUUCGGACUUAUAACGAAGAAGUUAUGCGUCCGGGAAGUUCACAAAAUUUAAAGUUUGAAAAAAUUUUCUGGUGCAUAGAGUUGGCGCCGCGGUGCCAACCCUAGGCCAAAUGAUGGCGCCGCAGCGCCGUAACAGUAACCGAGCAUACUGGAAACUCGCGCCGCAGCGCAAACUGUAGAACAUUUUAUGGCGACGCAGCGCCAUGAACAGACCAUGCCAUACUGGAAAGUGGCACCGUAGCGCGGCCCACUAAGUAAGGACUCGCGCCGCAGCGCCAAGUUCCUGACCUCUCCACUAUUAACUCACGCCGCAGGGCGAGCUGUAGUUAUAAAGCUGGCGCAGUAGCGCCAGUCUCAGAACAAGGAUAGUGAAGAAUAUUUCUAAGUACAAAGAAAGAAUGGUAAUGGAUUUAAAAAUAAACAUACUUUAAGGAACAUAACUUAACAUUGUUUAAACUUUGUUAAACCUUAAGGAUGUUGUAUAAAGGUUGAGAUAACCUAGUCAAAUGUAAAUGCAAGUAUAAUGAUAAACCCGAAUGAAUAGUAAAUAUAUCUAAUACACAAUUAGAUUGAGAUGAAGGGUAAGAUAGUCAUAUAUAUACUUGGUUAUAUAUGACCUAAUGUGAGGCAUUAUGUGGUCAUGUAUUGCAGAGACUUGAAAGACUUGAACGUAAAGUAUUUAUACCGUAGCAGACGCUAAAGGCAAGUAUUCUAACUCUUGUCUCAAUUCAAUCUGAACAAGUUUUGAAGUUCGUGUAUUCUUACGCAUGAACUAAUGUAUGAUGAAGUUAAAGCCAAUCCUUUCAGCUAGACUUGACUUAUUGAGUGGAUUAUUGAUAAUCUUUCAGGCACGCGAGGUUGCCACCAAUUAAACGUACAUACGUUUAAUGAAUGUAGUGUUUAUCAACAUAGAGUACAAUAGGCUGAUCACCUAGAAGUGCUCAUAAGUAAUACCGGUCUUACGGACUUAGUUCCGGGUUGUCCUUUUCAAAGAAGAAAGAAAUGCUCGAGGUCUUUGACUGGAGUGAAUGUUUUACUGAAUACUGAUAUUAUUGUAAAACAUUUUUAAAGAAAGAUGAAAUGCUAUUUUGAAUAAUUAAUAGUACUUCAUAACUAUUGUUCAGUUAUUAAAGAUAUACGAUUCGUAUGUAUCAAACAUGUUAUUUAUUGAAAAUGUCAUACUUGCUGAGCUAGUUAUGCUCACUCUUGCUUGAACCAUAUGAAUGCAGCUAAGACUGAAUGUCCCGAAGGAUCGAAUAAGGAUAAAGGAAAAGCUAAGGUAGAUCGUUAAGCUGCCUAUGUAAUAGUAUAGGUUAUUGUUGUAAUGUUAUUGAUAUUAUGACAAAGAACCUUUGUAAUAGGUUUAGAACUUGGGACAAUGUAAUUAUUAUUUUGAUAAUAUAGAAGAGAUGUUCGUUCUUUUGAGGCUUUUCAAUUGAAUGAAUGUAUGAAUGUUAUUACAGUAUAGCACCAUCUGUCAGGUUGGAAGAUACCCGAAUUUAGGGGCGCUACAGGUUGGUAUCAAAGCCUAGGUUGUAAAACUUAAGGGGGAUUAGAACCUUAAGUCAUAACCUUAAUAAAGAAGUAGAAGAUGAAAGAUAACCCUAUAAAAAUGUAUUAUCUUAUGUUAAGUGUUUUUAUUAUUUUACUAACGUGUACUAAUCAAACAAUAUUGUUUUAUUGUAGAUGUCAGGUGAAAAUGAUAUGUAUAGAGAUAUACAUGUAGUGAGCGAGGAUUCGGUUAAUCGAGUAGAGGUACUACCCAAUCCCGUAGCAGUAGAACCAAAGGUGCUGACUAUCGAGUCUGGAGACUCGGACGAUUUAGACUACAUGUCUAUAUUUGAUGGCAUGCUAGAGGAAGAGGUGGACGUGAUGUCCUUUGAUCAGGUUCCACCUACAGAAGAGUUGACUACGGGGGAGUCAAUGAAGGCGUUGUUCAUGUCAAUUCUGGAUAGAAACGUCCACUAAUGUCAAGAAGUUAGGGAGUUCCAAGAGGAACUCCAAGCUGUCCGGGAGGACAAAUUAAGUAUGGAGGGUAUGUUGGAAGAGGAACACGAUGAUCGUGUUUUAGCCAAGGACAAGGUCCACGAGCUGAAACACGAAGUCUUUGAGCUCAAGCAGGAGCUAAAGACUAAACAGCAGAAGAUAGAGAGGAUGUCCUAUAUACAUAGGAGUUCUCAUGUGGACUUCCAGCAACAAGUAGUUGGAUAUCCAGUGGAAGCAGGGCAGACUCGACAUACCAUUAGUCGAGAUGUCAUAGCCGGUUUGGCCAAGAAAGAUUUCGAUAAUGCCAUUCGGCAAAUGUAAUCUAGUUAUAGCUAGACUAGUUUAGAUAUGUAAAUAUUAUGUAUCUAGUAGUGACGUAAAACUCUCUUUUGUAUAUCAAGGGUAGUCUUUUGUAAAUCCCAAUUUUUGGAAAACAAUUGCGGGAUGGUAAUGUAAUCAGCUAAGGCUGAGUAAUGUAAACAAUGUAGUGUUAUGCUACAAGUUAUGAAUCAAUAUAAGUCUUUUUAUGGAACAUAUUGAGUAAUGGGUAUGAGUUAUUAUUUCAGUACAAAUAAUAACAAAACAAGAAGAAGAAAGUAAUAAUGACGUGUUGUUUUCUUAACAGCAAAAUGCCGCCAAGAAGGAGACAACGAAAUCAAGAUACUAAUGUUGAACAACCGGAAGAAGGUCCGGUUAAUCCAAUACAAGAGUUCGUUAAUCUUUUAACGGCUGCGUUUAAUAGAACUGGGGCUAAUGUACCCAUAAAUCCUGGAGUAGUGAUAGCUACUACUUUUAAGGAUUUCAAAAGUGUCGGUCCGCCGGAGUUCAAAGGAACUACAGACCCAAUAGAAGCCCAAACUUGGGUGAAAGAAAUUGAGAAAGCAUUUGUAAUAUCAAAUGUUGAGGAAGGUCAAAAGGUUGCCUUUGCAACCUAUAUGAUGAAAGGGGAGGCCAAUUUCUGGUGGGAGGCAAACCAGGUUAGGGCUGGAAUAGAAAACUUAACGUGGGUAGGGUUCAACGAGAUUUUCUUCUAGAACUAUUUUCCCACGAGUAUGCAGGGGAGGAUGGAAAUGAGGUUUCUUGAUUUGAAACAAGGGGAUAUGACUGUUCCCCAGUAUGCUGCCAAGUUUAAUGAACUGGCAAGAUUUUCUCCACAUCAAGUGGACACUAAAGUGAGAAAGGUUAGACGAUUCGAGCAGGGCUUGAAACCCUGGAUCUAUAGCCAAAUUUCUGUGUUCCAAAGUACUUCCUUUGGAACCAUAUUAGAAAAGGCAAUAAUUGCCAAAGGUGGGAAUGAGGCUCUCAGCCAGUACCACAAGGAUAAGAAAAACAAGGGCAGGGUUGAUGGAGGAAUAAAGACCGAGGGAACCAGUGGUAGUGGCGACGGUCAAAAGAGGAAGAGUUUUAACUCUGGGAAUACCAGAGUAAAGCAAGGGGAUUCAAAAAGGAGGAUGGAGGCUUGUAAAACCUAUGGGAAGACUCAAUUAGGAGUCUGUCUCAAGGGUAAGGCAGUAUGUUAUAAUUGUGGGCAGGAAGGGCACAUUUCGCCUAAUUGUCCCAAUCCAAAGAAAAACCAUUGAUGCUUUGUAUGUGGAUCAACUGACCACAUAGCAAAGAACUGUCCAAAGAAGGGGGCAGAUGGAAAUAAGGGCACUAAUAGCGGUAAGUUGGCUAUUAGUGGUCCAGCUCAGCUGGGUAGACCAAUGGCCUGCACUUUUAAUAUGACGGUCCAAGAUGCGGUGGCAUCAGGGGAUGUAGUUGCAGGUAUUAUCCCGAUCAAUAACAUAAAUGCGUACAUGCUAUUUGAUUCAGGUGCUACUUGUUCAUUUAUAGCAUGUGAUUUUGCAAGACGAUUAGAAUUACUUUCCGAAAAGUUUCUUAUACCUUUGAUUAUUAAGGUAGCAAAUGAAGAGAUAAUUCCUGUUGAAGAUAUUCAUAGGAAUUGUUGCAUAGAUAUACGAGAUUGUAAAUUAUCGGUAGAUUUAAUACCGAUAAAGUUGGGAGAAUUCGAUGUAAUUCUCAGAAUGGAUUGGUUGAUUAACCAUGGAGCAAUUAUAGAUUGCCAGAAGAAAUGUGUGAGCAUUAGGACGUUGAAACAACCUCCUGUAGUAUUUUACGGUAAUAAAUCGCUAGGACGUUCGUGUUGUCUUACGAUGACACAAACUAGAAAACUUUUAAGGAAGGGAUGUGUGGGUUACUUGUGCCAUGUUGUUGACACCCAGCGAGUGGGAGCAACCAUGGAACAAAUACUCAUAGUAAACGAAUUCAUGGAUGUGUUUCCAAGUGAGUUACCGGGGUUACCACCGAAUAGGGAGAUCAAAUUCGUAAUAGACAUAGUGCCAGGAACGGCACCAGUCUCAAGGGCACCGUAUCGUAUGGCGCUUGUGGAAAUGAAAGAGCUAAUGGUUCAGUUACAGGAACUAUUGGAUAGAAAGUACAUUCAACUGAGUGUUUCCCCAUGGGGUGCACCGGUAUUGUUUAUUAAGAAGAAAGACGGAUCGUUAAGACUUUGUAUCGACUAUCGAGAGUUGAACAAGUUAACGAUAAAGAAUAAAUACCCAUUGCCCAGGAUCGAUGAUCUUUUUGAUCAGUUGAAAGGGGUAAAGUAUUUUUCUAAAAUAGAUUUGCGGACGGGGUAUCACCAAUUGAAGGUUAGGAAGGAGGAUAUACCAAAGACGACAUUCAGAACUCGUUAUGGUCAUUAUGAGUUUCUAGUAAUGUCAUUUGGAUUGACGAAUGCACCAGCUGCAUUUAUGGAUAUGAUGAACAGAGUGUUCAAACCAUAUUUGGACAAGUUCGUCGUAGUGUUUAUCGAUGAUAUUCUAGUCUAUUCAAAGAUGCCAGAAGAUCAUGCUGAACACUUAAGAUUAGUGUUGGAGACACUAAGAAAGGAGAAGUUAUAUGCAAAAUUCACUAAGUGUGAAUUUUGGCUGGAGAAGGUAUAGUUUUUAGGUCAUGUCAUUGACCAAGAAGGGAUUUCAGUGGAUCCAGCAAAGGUAGAAGCAGUGAUGAGCUGGGAACAAUCGAAAACGCCGUCUGAGGUGCGGAGUUUCCUAGGGUUAGCGGGAUACUAUCAAAGAUUUAUCCAAGAUUUUUCAAAGAUAGCUACCCCAUUGACUAACUUGACAAGGAAGACGAUGAAAUACGUGUGGACGGAUAAAUAUGAAGACAGUUUUCAAGAAUUGAAGAAAAGAUUAAGUGAAGCUCCUGUUUUGUCAUUACCCGAUGACACAGGAAAUUUUGUAGUUUAUAGCGAUGCUUCGCAUAGAGGACUUGGUUGCGUGCUCAUGCAGCAUGCCAAAGUCAUUGCGUAUGCAUCAUGGCAGUUAAAGGAUUAUGAGAAAGUCUAUCCUACUCAUGAUCUGGAACUGGCCGUGAUAGUGUUUGCCUUAAAGAUAUGGAGACAUUAUCUUUAUGGGGAGAAAUGUGAGAUAUAUACGGACCAUAAGAGUCUUAAGUAUAUCUUCACUCAGAAGGAGUUGAAUAUGAGACAGAGAAGAUGGCUAGAGUUGAUAAAGGAUUACGAUUGUGAAAUCCUGUAUCACCCUAGGAAAGCCAAUGUAGUUGUCGAUGCCUUAAGUAGGAAGGGUCGAGAAAAGUUAUCUGUGUUAACAACUCAAAAUGAGUUAAUAACAAAGAUGGCUAAGAUGGAAAUAGAAGUGAAGAUGCCAAGUGACUCUAGGCAGAUACUUUUUUCAACGGAGAUGCAAUCUACCAUCGUAGAGAGAGUCAAGGAGGUACAACUCAAGACUGACGAGUGUAACCAAAUGAAGAAGCGGAUAUCUGAUAAGGAAGAUACUAAGUAUAGUCUUGAUAAUGAAGAAUUAUUAAGAUUUGAAGGAACAAUUUGGGUUCCAAAUGAGACAGAAUUAAAGGAGCAAGUGUUACAAGAAGCUCAUAGUUUGAGGUACUUGAUACAUCCUGGUAGCACUAAGAUGUAUCAAGACCUUCGACAGAUUUUUUGGUGGCCGAAUAUGAAGAGAGAAAUAGCUGAAUACGUGAGUAGAUGCUUAACUUGUCAAAAAGUUAAAGCUGAACAUCAAAGACCAAGUGGCUUGUUACAGUCAUUGGAGAUUCCAGAAUGGAAGUGGGAGCAUAUCACGAUGGACUUCGUGAUGGGACUUUCGACAACGACCAAAGGGUACGAUUCGAUUUGGGUAAUAGUAGACCGAUUGACGAAAUUGGCUCACUUCUUACCAAUUAGGGUCAAGUAUAACUUAGACUAGUUAGCUAAGCUUUAUGUCAAGGAAAUUAUUUCCAGACAUGGAGUACUAGUAUUGAUUGUGUCAGAUCGUGAUCCACGAUUCACAUCGAACUUCUGGAGAAGUUUGCAAGAACAGCUGGGAACACAGUUGAAGUUAAGCACAACUUAUCAUCCACAAACUGAUGGGUAGAGCGAGAGGACAAUUCAGACGUUAGAAGACAUGUUAAGGUCUUGCGUCAUGGAUUUUAAGGGUAGUUGGGAUGAUCACCUACCACUUGUAGAGUUUGCAUAUAACAACAGUUAUCAUGCAAGCAUAGGCAUGCCGCCUUAUGAAGCUUUGUACGGAAGGUGCAGAAAACCAUUGUAUUGGGAUGAAGUGGGAGAACGCCGGAUGCUAGGACCAGAAUUGGUGCAGCAGACAGCGGAUGUAAUAAAGUUAAUUCAGAUGCAUCUUGUUACAGGUCAAGACAGACAGAAGAAAUAUGCGGACUCACAUAGAUUAAAUCGAGAGUUUGAAGUAGGCUCAUAUGUAUUUCUAAAGGUAUCUCCCUGGAAAGGAAAGAUACGCUUUGGAAAGAAAGGAAAGAUACGCUUUGGAAAGAAAGGGAAGAUAAGUCCAAGGUUUAUAGGACCUUUUGAGGUAUUAAAAAGGGUGGGAGAGGUAGCUUAUAUGAUAGCAUUACCUCCAGACCUAUAAAGAAUAAAUAACGUGUUUCACGUAUCUGUAUUGCGUCCGUAUAAGCCGAAUUAUAAGCACGUAAUCGAAUAUGAGCCGAUUCAUAUCGAGAAAGAUUUAACCUAUGAAGAAUCGUCGAUUCAAAUCAUUGAUAGAAAAGAGCAAGUUCUGCGGAACAAAGUAAUACCGUCAGUAAAGGUAUUAUGGAAGAACCACGAUGCCGAAGAAGCAACGUGGGAAUUAGAAGAAAAGAUGAAGAAAAAUUUUCCUCAUCUAUUUGAUUAAAGUAAGACAAGAUUCUGGGGACAUAAUCUUUAUAAGGGGGGAAGAAUGUAAUGACCGAGAAAUUCAGAUUUUAUUGUAAAAUGAUUUUACUAACUAAAUAAUAAUAAAAUCAUAUUCUUUGUGAUAUCAAGAUGGUUGUCAUUCUAUAACCUAUUGAUGUUGGAAUGUCGUAGUAUUUGAGAUACGUGAAGAAAUUAAAGUGUUUGAAUUUCUAAGACGAAAGUAAAAGUUUUCCGAGAAAUUUUCUGAAAAACACUAUUCAUCAGUAUUUGCUCGGGAAUUAUUUUUAAUUUCCGAGAAAUACGUAAUGAUAGAAUAUCAAGGUAAGAUGGAUUAUGUAAUAAUAAUCUAGUUAUGGAAAACGUAAUAUUCGCUUGCGGAAUUAAUUCGAGAAUAUUAAGGAAAGCGAAGUAUUAGUAAGAAAUCGUUAAGGGUAUGAUACUUAUGUAUUGUACAAGGGAAUGAAAACAAGUAUAAUACAAAGUAUUAUACGAGUUUGUAUGAAGGAAGGAAUAUCGUAUAUAAUGAAGUUGUAUACGAAUUAUAAUAUGAGAAUAAUACAUAGACAAUAUGUAUAUGUAAUGGAUUUGGAAGAUUGGUUAACAAUUGGUACAAGCCCAAGUGAAUUAAAUGUUAAGGCCCAAUGUUAAUUAAUGAAUAAGUUAAUUAAUGCAAGCCCAAAAGAUAGGUUAAACUAAGCCCAAAUUAAAGUCCAAUGGGUUAUGGUGACCCAUGGGGCAAACCAUACUAAUGUGGUUAAUGUGUGGUAACCAAGAUAAGUGGUGACCAAGUUAAGUGGUAACCAAGUUGUUGUAAUGACCAAGCAAAGGAUAGGUUUUGUGCCAUGCAAGUAAUGAAUAGUAAGGAGGUUCAUAAGGAGGUGGGAUUGGUUUAAAGUCCAAACUACCCUAACUUUGGAAAAUCUAUAUAUAGAGGAGGCUUACAAGCCAUUUGUUAGUUGUUCAAAUAAUCCAAACACUCUCUCAAAGUGCUUAAUUGUUAGGGUGAUUAAGUUGAAAAUAAGCCACUUACAUAAGAAGAAGAAGAAGAAGAAGAAGACUACUUACAAAGACUUCAAAUGUAAGACUCCUUCUCUAAUUAUCUUCUAUCUCUAUUCAUGAUAGGUUAAUAAGCAAAGAUGAAUUAAAGAACAUGAAUGUUAAGAAGUGAGAAGAAAGUGUAAGUAUUGAACUUAAGCCACAUAAGUUGGUAAUAAGUCAUUUAAGCUAGCAUAAGUUAUAAACUUAUGUGAAAGUAUUAUGAACUUGUCAUGAGUUUAUUAAUGAAAGUAAAUAAAUUGUAUGUAUAUUAAUCAUAUAUACAUGAAUGAAAUUAUAUGUGAAAACAUGUAUGCAUGAUGAUUAAAAGACAAUAACUUUCAUAAGUUAUGAACAAUAAAGCUAUAAGUAGUUUAUAAUUGAAUAAGUUAUAAGCUCAUGAAUGAAUUAAGUCAAAAUCCAAUAAUGGAAAUAAGUUGUUGUAUUAAGUAUGUGAAGAUGUUUAUAGAAUGAAAUGAAUGCAAGUGAAGUAAUGAACAAAUCAUAAGUAAUGAAGAUUUUCUGGAAAUCGAACGAUUAGACGAUAAUCGUCGAAUUCGUGAAAUUCCCGGAUUAGAAGUCAAAUUUUGAGUUUGAACUCAGAAUGAACCAAUAGGUGAAUUUUUAGCAAACGAAGUCAAAUAGAUAAAAUUUUGCAUGAACGUGUAGAUUACGUAAUUUAUGAACCGUAGGCUUUUGAACGAGCCAAUUCGGACUUAUAACGAAGAAGUUAUGCGUCCGGGAAGUUCAUAAAAUUUAAAGUUUGAAAAAAAUUUCUGGUGCACAGAGUUGGCGCCACGGCGCCAACCCUAGGCCAAAUGAUGGCGCCGCAGCGCUAUAACAGUAACCGAGCAUACUGGAAACUCGCGUCGCAGCACGAACUAUAGAACAUUUUGUGGUGACGCAGCGCCAUGAACAGACCAUGACAUACUGGAAAGUGGCAUCGUAACGCGGCCCACUAAGUAAGGACUCGCGCCACAGCGCCAAGUUCCGGACCUCUCCACUGUUAACUCGUGCCGCAGGGCGAGCUGUAGUUAUAAAGCUGGCGCUGCAGCGCCAGUCUCAGAACAAGGAUAGUGAAGAAUAUUUCUAAGUACAAAGAAAGAAUGGUAAUGGAUUUAAAAGUAAACAUACUUUAAGGAACAUAACUUAACAUUGUUUAAACUUUGUUAAACCUUAAGGAUGUUGUAUAAAGGUUGAGAUAACCUAGUCAAAUGUAAAUGCAAGUAUAAUGAUAAAUCAGAAUGAAUAGUAAAUAUAUCUAAUACACAAUUAGAUUGAGAUGAAGGGUAAGAUAGUCAUAUAUAUACUUGGUUAUAUAUGACCUAAUGUGAGGCAUUAUGUGAUCAUGUAUUGUAGAGACUUGAAAGACUUGAACGUAAAGUAUUUAUACCGUAGCAGACGCUAAAGGCAAGUAUUCUAACUCUUGUCUCAGUUCAAUCUGAACAAGUUUUGAAGUUCGUGUAUUCUUACGCAUGAACUAAUGUAUGAUGAAGUUAAAGCCAAUCCUUUCGGCUAGACUUGACAUAUUGAGUGGAUUAUUGAUAAUCUAUUCAUCUAUUAUCAUAUGUUAUUAUCUUUUUUCAACUACUUGAUAUGGUUUUCAAAAGAAGACUGAAAUGUUAAACAAAUGUUUUUGUCGUUAAACGACAGGCAUGCGAGGUUGCCACCAAUUAAACGUACAUACGUUUAAUGAAUGUAGUGUUGAUCAACAUAGAGUACAAUAGGCUGAUCACCUAGAAGUGCUAGUAAGUAUUACCGGGCUUACGGACUUAGUUCCGGGUUGUCCUUUUCAAAGAAGAAAGAAAUGCUCGAGGUCUUUGACUGGAGUGAAUGUUUUACUGAAUACUGAUAUUAUUGUAAAACAUUUUGAAAGAAAGAUGAAGUGCUAUUUUGAAUCAUCAAUAGUACUUCAUAACUAUUGUUCAGUUAUUGAAGAUAUACGAUUCGUAUGUAUCAAGCAUGUUAUUUAUUGAAAAUGUCAUACUUGCUGAGCUAGUUAUGCUCACCCUUGCUUGAACCAUAUGAAUGCAACUAAGACUUAACGUCCCGAAGGAUCGAAUAAGGAUAAAGGAAAAGCUAAGGCAGAUCGUUAAGCUGCCUAUGUAAUAGUAUAGGUUAUUAUUGUAAUGUUAUUGAUAUUAUGACAAAGAACCUUUGUAAUGGGUUUAGAACUUGGGACAAUGUAAAUAUUAUUUUGAUAAUAUAGAAGAUAUGUUCGUUCUUUUGAGGCUUUUCAAUUGAAUAAAUGUAUGAAUGUUUGUAUAGUAUAGCACCAUCUGUCGGGUUGGAAGAUACCCGGAUUUGGGGGCGCUACACGGGCCAUAUUAACCAACCUCCUCACAAAACCUUUUGAAGCUGUCACAGUCGAUAACAUUAAAAGGAAUACCGACUUCAUACACCCAUCGAGCCAUGUAUUAAAGCACACUAUGCGUCCUUUCCUUCCAAAGUGCAUCAUUAAUAUUUUGUUAUCGUAGCUUUUUACUUGCACUCAUUAAAGAAUCGGGAUUUAUGGUCGAUGCAAAUUUAUCCAUAGCCUCAAUCAAUUGUGGUCUUUUUCUUGACCCUGUCACUUCAAUUUCUUCUUCUCCCUCUUCAUCAAUUAUAUUAACCUCUCUUCUAAUUUCUUCAAUCUCUUUCCUUUUUUCUUGCUUCUUCCUUUUAACUUCUUCUAAUGCGGCUUUACAGUUUUCUUUAUCUUCAUCAGUAGCCUUUGGGCACGAUCUAGUAUUUCCCGUAAUUUGCGCAAUGUGUUAUUUAAUUCUAUAAACCCCUCCACUAAUACAAUGUCCACACAACUUGCAUUUCACCUUAUCGAUAUUUUUAGGAUUAAUCAACAUCCCAUACUACCAUCCAACGUCAUUUCAUGCACGUUUCAAUUGUGAUUUAAGUACAGUGACAGAAUUAGAUGCUCCCGAAGAAGGAAUUUGUGCCAUUGAAACAAACCUACAAAUGUCACAGUCUAUAGAAGGCGGCAGCAACAAAUAGAGGGAAAAUAAGUAAGUCAAUAAGAUAUUCAUAUUCUCUGUUUACUAUACACAGUUAUAGCUCAUGCUUGGUUAUUUUAUAUUUUAUUUUCUCUGUUUGGUAUACACAGUACGGUUUGUUGUAUUUUUGUUUAUGUACAGCUUUCUUUGGAUGCUCAUUGCUCUGGAACUAUUAUUUCACAGGCCUCGCUAGUGUCGCAUCCAAACUCGUAUUUCAUUUUGACUGUCGAUAUUAAUACUUGUUCUGUGACCCAAGAAUGUUUACUUACUGUGAUUGAGAUUGUUCAGUUUUAAUUUGAGCUUAAAGUUUGUUGAUGAACUCAAACCUUUUUAGUUGCUUAGCAGAAAGGAAAAUUUCAAAAACAAGUGGCGAUGUGGAGUUUACAAACAAGCUAAUUGAUGUUCACAAACAAGCUAAUUGAUGUUUACAAGAUAUCAAAACUCACUGUGAUGGAGUGGUGUUGUGGCCAUGUGGCGGCGAUGGAGUGGCGUUGUCGCUACGAUGGAGCAGUGGCGGCCGUCCGGCCGUGCGCCCGUGCCUCUUCUUCUUCUUCUUCUUUUGCAGUUCUGCCCUUUCUUCUUCACUUUAGUAAUGGUCUGCACGUUUUUUAGAGAAUGGAAGAAAGAUCAGAUGACUGAAGUGAUGACUAUGACUAUGAGUAGUGGGUAUUAAAUUUUAACUUUGAGUAAAGAUAUCAUGUGUACACCCUCACCACAAACUUUGUAAGCUAUCAAGAAUGUUUACUUCAUGCCACGUGUUGAGCAAUAUGCCAU